rnacentral:lncRNA from 1 species
GAGCGAAGAAUAAUCUGGUAAUUUUAAUUUUGGAUAAUUUUGAUGGUAUUCUAUUUCCAUCUCUCUGUAAUUUGUUCUGCUUCUUCAAGCUUGCCCACAAGUUUAAUUGGUACAAAUCCUUGACAAGUCUCACUUACCUUAAAUCAUCUGAAGUUUUGUCCUCUCUUGAAUUUUCUUAUUUUUCUUCAAGUUGUUCCUGAAAGAAAUUUAAAGAAAGUAAUUUCAGAAGACAUGAUAUUAUAGUUGGUGAUAAUUUAAAAGCAUACAAUAAAGGAAAUACGAUCAAGGAAAACGGAGGAAAAGUUUAGCACUAAAUGAGAUGCACCUGUUGAAACCUUUGUAACUAUAACUGUGAGAAUGAAGGAAAAGAGCAAACAAGAAGCUGAUAUAUGGAUGGUCUGAAGUGGUCGAUGUACUGAACUGCGAUCCUUUAUCUUCAUUAAGUGUGCUUUGGACAAAAGAAGUUGAGAAAGAACAUCAUAUCUACUUCUGAAGUUUCAUUUCCCCUAAAUAUUAGUACAUACUUUCAAUUAAAAACCAGUCAAUGUUGUUUGAUGUGAAAUAAUAUUAUUCGUUAGCAUCUUAAGUCAAACCGCAUUGGUAAAAUGAUAUGAAAAUGAACAAGUAAACUUAAGAAUUAAUCGGUUCCUGCUGCUUUGCUUUUACUUAUCACUUGACUUUGUUUCUCCUCUCAACUCUAUUCGUUGUUUGUCCUGUUAUCCUCUUUGUUCUCAGAAUAUGCUUGUAGACUAAUGAACUAACAAAGAGAGAUGUGUAUUAAAUCAGUUUUCUUUCUUUCAUAUCUCUACCCUUUAAGUCUAUGUGCUUUUUGUGUAUUUAAGAGUUAAUUUUUUGUUCUUGAGAUUGUCUCAUUAGUUUUUUGUUCUUCGAUGUACUACUACACAUUAAUUGGUUGUUAUAUCUUGCUAUCCAAUCAUUCGUCCACGUUAGCACGACAAAGCCUUGCCGAAGUGGUGAACACCUGCAACUCUAUAACUCUAUAACUUUGUGAUGUAGAUCUUGCCUUAGAUGUGAGGAUGAGUGAGAUGCCUACAAAUUGAUAUCAUAUUGUACAAUAAUAUAACUGUGCAAUCUGAUAAGUUGAUAAACGUUGUUGAAUGGGAUAACAUAGGCAACAUAUACAGUGGGUGAAAAUUCAAUGUAUGCUGAUAGGUUAUAAAUAUUUGUUCUUUAGAUCACUUCGUCUAAACACAAACAAAUACUAUUUUUCGUGCCUACAACUUUUUGGAUUACAAUGUUCAAUUCAACAGGGUUCAAUUUAAUCUCUAUUUUUGUUCGUCUUAUCAUUAAAAUAAUCAAGUUGCUUAAUGAGAAAGCCUAAGGCUUAAAAUUGAUAUAUGGCAAGUUACUACACCUUUUUAUCUUUAUUUUUGUGAUGUAGGUUUGUACUGUGAUUAGAAUACUGACAUUUACAAAACUCAAGUUUUCUUAACAACGGAUCCUCAACAAACAAAAAAACGUCCUUGCAUAACGACAGAAGCUUAUGAUAAGAAUGCCAAACGACUUGAAGUGUACAACGAUAUGACCAUGGCUGAAAAGAAUGCGCUUCUGUUGCAACGACGUCUGAAAAAAAGAGAGAC